CUCAAAUUUUACUGUAAUUAAAAUACAGAGAUGCAGAAUAUUCCCAGAAACACACUGCAAAACAAACCAAGCAAACAGAUUCAGUAGGAAACCAAUUAUAGACAAUGAAAUGAUAAAGAACAAAAGCGUCCUCUGGAGCCUGGUGCCAUGCAUGGGACCACGCGGCCGCAGCGACGGUGCCGGGGUAGGAAAGGGCUCCUUGGCUCCUGGAGGAGCAGAGAUUGGCCCAAUGUCUGUCCUGGCAGCUCUGCGGCUCUCUCCAUCCAUCUCCACAUUUAUGCUCGUGCUGUUAUUUUCACCAGGAUGACUUUGCAAUGGAGACACGGGAAUGACCCACCCACAGGAACAAGAGCCAACAAGAGAACCCAGAGGGAAAGAAGUGGGUUAAGAUUUUCCAGACAUGAACACAAGCAGACAGAAAGGGGUGGAAGACAUGCACUCCUCUUCCAGCCAGGGCAGCCACGGGAGCAGUCACCCUCUCUGCACCAAGGGCAAGAUAAAAAGCGAAGGGAGGGAAAAAAAAGGAGGUGAACACUAACAGGAUGAGCAAGGGAAAAGGGAGGACAGGAGGUGCCCAUGGGCUCUCCUCCAAGCCAGGGUAAGCCCCUGGGGCAGGGAAACGCCCAGCUGCAGUGGGGCACUGAGCUGUGUAUAGAAUUGCAGCGCAGCCCUGCGGUGGGGGGAUCCUGGUGAAUGCCUGGAGGAGAUCUGGAAGUGAAGAAGGGCUGACCUGGUGUCUGGACCCUCUCUUGGGCACGCUGAUCCAGCCAAAUGGAAACAACCUCAUUAUCAUCACUGCUGCGGAAGCAGGGCCCCGGCCAGGAGCAGAAAAACACCACACCCCAAAACUCAUAUUCUUCCACACUCUUCCCUAGGGCAAACUCUCUUACGUUCAUCCUCUGAUUCAGAGCCUGUCCUAAGAAUCAAAUUCCCUCUGUGCUACUCCCUUUCUUGCUCCCUCAGUCU
rnacentral:lncRNA from 7 species